UACAGAGGGUGCAAGCGUUAAUCGGAAUACUGGGCGUAAAGCGUGCGCAGGCGGUGAUGUAAGACAGAUGUGAAAUCCCCGGGCUCAACCUGGGAACUGCAUUUGUGACUGCAUCGCUAGAGUACGGCAGAGGGGGAUGGAAUUCCGCGUGUAGCAGUGAAAUGCGUAGAUAUGCGGAGGAACACCGAUGGCGAAGGCAAUCCCCUGGGCCUGUACUGACGCUCAUGCACGAAAGCGUGGGGAGCAAACAGG
rnacentral:rRNA from 1 species